AAAGGAAUCUCACAAUAAACGCGUCAAGGAAGGCGGCUUCUUUCGUCUCUGUCUUCUGCUUCGGCUUUUCUCCUUUCGCUUGAUUUUCGUGUCGCCGGUAAGGCAAUUCGAUACCUCUGAACCCUAACGAGACGCAGCCACCGUUUAGGGUUUCGAUCAUCCAUUCAUUCUUCCUUGUUUCCUUUGCCUGAUUGCUUCCGUGUGGUUUCAUUUCCAUCUUACGUUUCAAUUCUGUUGAUUCUAUCGAGGAAGCGCUUGAGAAAAUUAUAUUUGAUUUUUGUCAUGUGCGUUUCUCUUGAUUAGGGUUUGUGAAUCUUUUAAAAAAAAUUGAAUUAUACGUUCUGUUAUUUUGGGGAGGGUUAGGGUUUCGAAAAUUUGGGAUUAUUGAGGAUUUCGGUUUGAAAUACAUUUUUCUUGGAUUCUAAAUUGCUUAUUGAGAGGAAUUGUGCUUGUGCUUGUCAAUCGAUGGCGGCAGGGCGAAAAAGUGUUCCGCUCAAAGGGGAAUUUUUCAAAUACAGUUCAACAAAGAGGUCCGAUCACUAUAAGAAUGGCUCUUUCGGCGUGGAAGAGGGUGGAUCUCGCAGCCAUCACUUUGCUCGUUCCCAUGAGCCUCGUGGUGGGAAAGAGGAGAGAGAGCAAGGUGAGAUCUGUGUUGAAGAUGAGGAAUAUGAGGUUGCUUUGCCACCGCCACAGAAGAAAAGGAAGUUUUCUCCAAUCGUAUGGGACCUAGCAGAGAAGGAAGAAAGAAUUUCGUCUGAGAGUAAGAUCUCGGAUACUGUUGCUCUGUCUCCUCCUCGUCCAUCUGUACUGAGCACUCCUGGAGCCAACGAUCCUGGUUCAGAUGUCCUUAUGGAUGAAUCUUUGCCAGAUUCUCGAAGCUAUAGACAGGAUGUGGAGGAAGAGAAGGAUGUGCAAGAAUGGACUAUCAGAAAGUCAAGAUGGGCUACUGAUGAUGGUCCCUCACCCAUGGCUGCUGAUGAUAAAUUCAAUCAUGUCAAAGGCAGCUCCAGUCCUGAAAUUGGUGAAUUCCAUCGCGGUGGAUCUUCAGAAAGCACCGUCACUAGAUCGUCAGGAAGCACGGGGAGAGAUCAAUAUCUUGGACUUUCUACUGAUGACGCCGAUUCUGAAAGGGAUUUCCAUAUAGACCCCGUGGUCGAUGUUGAGGGACCAAGUGACGUUGGUGAUUGUCCAUCGGAUUCUGAAGAGAGUGAUGGAUUGAAGCAAGUGCAGAGAAAUAUAAAUAUGCUUCACAGUUGCAGAAGUGUGUGCGAGUUUGAGAUGAUUAAGAAAAUAAAUGAAGGAACUUAUGGUGUUGUCUAUAAAGCUAGGGAUAAGAAAACUGGAGAAUUAGUCGCGUUGAAGAAGGUGAAGAUGAAUAUAGAGAGGGAUGGCUUUCCGAUGUCAUCCUUGAGGGAAAUAAACAUUCUCUUGUCUUUUAACCAUCCCUCCAUUGUGAAUGUUAAAGAAGUAGUUGUAGAUGAUUUUGACGGUACUUUUAUGGUAAUGGAAUACAUGGAGUAUGACCUCAAGGGAAUGAUGGAGGUUAAGAAACAGCCUUUUAGCAUUAGCGAAAUUAAAUCCUUGGUAAAGCAACUUCUCGAAGGUGUCAAGUAUCUUCAUGAUAACUGGGUUAUCCAUAGGGACUUGAAGUCAUCAAACAUUCUGCUGAACCAUGACGGGGAGCUUAAAAUAUGCGAUUUUGGGUUGUCGAGGCAGUAUGGAAGCCCUCUGAAGCCAUAUACUCCUGUUGUGGUUACACUGUGGUACAGAGCACCUGAACUUUUGUUGGGUGCUAAAGAAUAUUCAACAGCAAUUGACAUGUGGUCAGUGGGUUGCAUAAUGGCUGAAUUAAUUUCCAAGCAGCCUCUGUUCAGGGGUAAAAGUGAACUUGAACAACUUGAUCAGAUUUUUCGAACCCUGGGUACACCUGAUGAGAAAAUUUGGCCUGGAUUAUCCAAAUUACCUGGGGCUAAAGCAAAAUUUGUCAAGCAACCGUUUAAUAUGUUAAGGAAGAAGUUUCCAGCUGCAUCAUUUACCGGUUUUCCAGUUUUAUCGGAGCUGGGAUUUGACUUGUUGAAGAAGCUUUUAACUUAUGAUCCCGAAGAGAGGAUAACUGCUGAAGAUGCUCUCCUUCAUGAUUGGUUCUAUGAAGCCCCUCCUCCCAAAUCUGAUUUCAAGCCUAUUUUUCCUUCUUGGAGGUGCUAGGACAGGUGUUGGAUAUGUAGAAAAAUAAUCAAUAAUCAAUUCCCAGGGAUAUUCGUGGUCAGCAGGCGGCAGUGAUUGCAUUCUGGAAAAGGGGGUCACAAGGAAGCCGUGAGAUAUGGUGAAGAUUGUGGAGCUCUGCAAGGCAGAGGUAGAGGUAGGUAGGUGAUAUUUGUGCUCCCCUGGCUCUGCUUUUGGUGGGUCGUAUAUGAUGGUAAUUUGAUGAAAUUCAAUUAAAGGUAACAUAUUCCUUUAUUUAUUUAUUAUAGAGGAUGAAAAUUUCUUUGUAGUGAGGAGUUUUAAUUUACUUUGUUCGUCUCAAAUAUGACACGUUCUCACGGUGUAUACUGUCAGAUAUUAUAUCCAAGUAUUAACUGACCUCGCAAGCGCUGAACACUGUUCUCACGGUGUCUGAUUCACUCAAUCUUUUCCUCUGGAUUUUCAGUUCGAGGUGUAAAAUUGAGGAUGAUGAAGAUUUUAUUGAGUACUUUUGGAGAGAGGAGGAAAAAUAAUUUUGAAAUUAAUAGUUUGAUCCCUUAUUUCUUUUCAUAUUUAUAUUAUAUUUUUAACCUAAUAUUUACCUAUUUUAUUACACUUCAUUGUUUUUGUUUUAUUAGGUUAUUAUUUUGUAAUUUAUUUCUCAUUGCAUAUUCUGGUGAGUUUAAUUUUCUUUCUGCUGAUUUUUGGGUGGUGUUUUUCUCUAUCGUGGUUGUCCUUGAAAUGUUUAAAUUGACACUAUGUAUGAUGUCUUGCUUCAUAUAGUUUAGCUAUUGAGCAUGUUAAACGUCUUUUUAUAUUUCUGCAAAAUUAUUGUGAAUAAUACGACAGGUGACUAAAAUGGAUGGUUGUCUGGAAAGUGAAGAUUAAUGAACGGUUUUAAAAACAGGAAUUAAAAGUUUUUUGAUUAUAUUA